GUCCAUAGCCGAAGAAUCGUCACUAGUCGAAGCUUGCACAAGAGGCGUAUGCCAUUUCAAAGCUUUGGGUUGAAAGUCUCCCACCAGUUCGUAUGCGGAAAACGUAAUGAGAUUUAAAAAUUUUUUAAAAUGUUUAAAUCAACUCAUUAAAGACCGCGUAUUUAAUGCGUGAUCUUUGCAGUCCCGUGCCUUAGGGUUGCGGUGUCUUCGGUAGUGAGAUCCACUGUGGAUCUCAAACCAUAGUUAUGACGAUUGUGGCCACUCUAGAGUGGUCAUAACCCAAUGGAGCUUACAUUCUUGGCUCAUGGG
rnacentral:RNase_MRP_RNA from 1 species